rnacentral:lncRNA from 1 species
GAGCUUACUGGGACAGGAGGGGUGGGACUGGAAGGGCCCCUCUCCCGCCCGCUUCCUCCCUUCCUUCAUCCCAGUCAGUCAGUCAGUCCGUCAGUCCGGCAAGCCGUGGCGUUAAUUUACACUGACACGCACCCCACCGCCCAUGCUCCCAGUCCUGUGGGGUGGGUGGAGAGUAAACAGCUGACAAAAGAUCACAUGAUCCAUGUAGCAUGUGCGUAGGACACAGCAAAGAGACAGGAGCAGACGGCGGGCCUCACGGGAGUGGUGGGAGCAGAAGCAGGCCUGUGCCGGGUCAAGUGUGAGCGGCUGACGUGCAGGCGAGGCUGCGUGCGGAGCCCAACCCAGGCCUUCCAGAGCGGCCUCGGAAGACCCGGGUGGGUGGCCGGGGCCGGCGGCCGGAGCAGGUGUGGCGCUUGUAAGAGGAGCUGGGGGUGGAGGGAGGGAGGGGCCCCCAGAGGAAGGCCAGGGCGGGCAGGCAGGGCAGAAGAGCCGCUCCCGUCUCCAUGGGGACCGAGAACACAGGCUGUGCACCUGUCCAAAUCCCAGCUCCGAGGCCUCAGCAAGCUCCUUGGCCUUCCUCUUGGGCACAGCACAGAAAAUACGGGCAUAAUUUUUCUUCAGCAAUUUCCCUGUCUCUGUAGGAGUAAAAGAAAACUGGAACAGUCACCUAUGUUCCUGACCAAAAAGAAGUAUAAACCGGUGAGUCAGUCUCUCCCCUGCGCUCUAGGGGCACCUAAUGUAAAACUUAACGACGUGGCCCAUCCACAGAAGGACGCGCAGAAAACCCCCAAAGAUCAGAAGAACGGAACCACAGGUCCAAAUGGAGAGACUGUUGCAUGGGGCAGCAAUACUUGCGUUCAAUGUUUCACUUGCAAGGAUGCUGUGAAGACCACACAAGAAAUAGCGCUUUGA